AUGUUUGAUUUUGUGAAUCUUGUGUUCUGGUUCGAUUGUUGUAAUUUGACAAAGAGCUGGGAAGAAAUCCCUUAAGCAAGACACGUUUAGCAGGAGGAAAAAAAACCUAGAGAAUACACGUGGUAUAGCUGAGAGGGAAAGGGAGAGAGGGACCAAAAGAAGGCGAAGCAAUGAAAGCACCGACAACACAACAGAAUCAAUCGACGUCGUCAGGAAGUAAGAAAUAUAUACUCAAAAAGAAUUCGACAAAUAAAGCACAAUCAGUCGAUAUCUUCAGCAAGUAAGAAACAUAUACUCAAAAGGAAGCAAGCAUACAUGCAUCAAAUUCAUUCACUUUGACAUAAGACCACCACACAUGAAACCUAAACUCUCCUAAGCGAAACUCACCUGAACAGCAAAUUAACAGUCCUGAUAGCCUGGAACUUGGAAGCCCUCUACAAGAUUAGAAACCCUAGAGCGAAAAUCGGUAAAGCCAUUGCUGCGUAAUCUGUUCUAAUCUCCUGAAUUCUCAGCUGAGGAAAAAGCGAGCAGGCAUAGAAAAGGGCACGUUAUAGUUGAAGAGGGAGAGACACGUGGAAGCUCAGGAGAAGCAAUGAAAGCACCGACUUUGUGCUUUAAGCCUUUAAGUAUAUAUAAGGUAACUAGCCUAUAUCCCGUGUGACACACGGGUUUAAAAAAUACAAUUAAUAACCUAUUAUUCAAUAUGAUCUUUUAUAUCUUUUAUAUACCGUGAGCUUCACGGGUUAUGGGUUGUGUUAAAAAAAAAUUAUAUUUACAAAAAAAAUUUAAGCGUCAUUUUUUUUCCACUUGACUCAUUAUAUUUUAGAUGACUUUCGACCCGUUUCAUUUUAAGCGUCAUUUUUUCCACUUGACUCAUUAAGAAAGAAUACAACACAAAACUAAUAAUUCUUAAGAUAUGUAAAGAUUGCCACUCUGUAUUCUAAAAUGACCCAAAUCAAUUUUGUUAACAUGUACAGAUUACUUGUAUCUUAUGCAUGAGCUACUUAUACAUGGGUAAUACUUGAGACUUAGGUUUCUUUUGAUAUUACAUAAACCUUUUUUGGUUUUACAUAAAGUUUUUUUUAUAUUUUUAGUUUAAUAUUUUAAUCUUGUUAGUGUUCAAAACUUUAAAAAGUUAAAAUACGGUAAGUAGAGAAAGCAUUGGCAGUUUUAUAAAUACAAACGUCUCGCAUACGUGAAGUACUCUAUCCUCACAUAUAAGCUUUCCGAAACGGCUCACACCUUUUAAAGCAAAGGACAGACUCAUCUCCGAUCUCUCCAAAAGGAAAAGGUAACACUUCAUUCAUUUAUGCGAUAAUCAUUGAUAAAGAAAAGGACAAAAUAUGGGUUAAUCACUUAACUGGAUCCAAACUAUAAUGAUUUCGAAAAUACCUUUGAUUUAGUUUUUGCUGUGUUCUCAAGUUUGGUUGGAUUUCAUCUUAAGGUGCUGCAAAACGUUUCAAGUAAUAUGAUGUUAGUUUUAGCCAUGAGGCAUAAUAACUUUGUAUAUCACAAUUUCACAAACUCUAUUUUGCUAUUAAACACGGUUCUUGCUUUAAAGAUAUUUUGCUAUUAAACAUGGGGAGUUCGACCGAUACCGGCAUUCAUAUGAAAGUCGUGGUAUGGUAUCGACACUCGUAAACAGUUCCAAAACCACUAACCACUAAUAUAGGGACCAAUGUUAUUCGAUGGAAAUCGGUCUGGUUUGUCACUGCACUGUUACUAUUGUUCGCUUCUAUAAAUCAUAAAUCAAGUACUUUCAAUAUAAACAUCAUUAUCUUGUAAUGCAAAACUAAAUUAACUCAAAUCAAUAAACAUCAAACAGGAUUUAUAUAGCUGAAUUAGGAGAAAGGAAGUUUGACUUUAAUAGGUACUUGAUCAACUACAUUUUAAAAGAACCAUAGCUUUUU
rnacentral:lncRNA from 1 species